AUAAAAACGAUAAGGGUGACCGCAAGGUCACCCAUUUUUUGCCUUGUUUAACACCUAUUGGUUUGGCCGCCGACAAGUUAAAUAAGCAACACUGGUGUUACGUAUAGCUGGCUGUUAAACGGAUUCCUUACUAUCACGACUAACAGUUAUUGUAACCGACGCCCGAGCAUUCGCUCGGGCUUCUUCUU
rnacentral:sRNA from 1 species